CGAAAGCCUGACGGAGCAAUACCGCGUGAGGGACGAAGGCCUCUGGGCUGUAAACCUCUUUUCUCAAGGAAGAAGACCUGACGGUACUUGAGGAAUAAGCCACGGCUAAUUCCGUGCCAGCAGCCGCGGUAAUACGGGAGUGGCAAGCGUUAUCCGGAAUUAUUGGGCGUAAAGCGUCCGCAGGCGGCCGAUCAAGUCUGCUGUUAAAGCGUGGAGCUUAACUCCAUAAUGGCAGUGGAAACUGGAGAGCUAGAGUACGGUAGGGGUUGAGGGAAUUCCCAGUGUAGCGGUGAAAUGCGUAGAUAUUGGGAAGAACACCAGUGGCGAAGGCGCUCUGCUGGGCCAUAACUGACGCUCAUGGACGAAAGCCAGGGGAGCG
rnacentral:rRNA from 1 species